ensembl:lncRNA novel transcript
UGCAGACCCCGAAGAAGGACUGGCUCCUCGGUGCUGAUGGCUGUCCUUCUAAACCAGGGGGGAGUCCAAAAGCUUCAGUGCAGGAGGAAGGCAGUGAGUGUUAGCCCUGACCUGCGCUGAGCCCUGAGAAGAAAGCUUCCUUCGCCCGCGUCCUCCCGCUGGCUGAGUCAGCCAGGACCCUGCUGUGCGAGGUCCAUAUGGGGCAGGUGCAGCUGCCAACACGGCCAAACUGAAGGUUCGCUCGCACCAGGACCAGUCGUGGGUGAACUCUUUGCACGCUCUUGACGUCAGGUCUUUGUGGACUCAGUGGGAACUGAGAACAAUUCCAUCCGUACGACGUCCAGAUGAACCUUGCUGGUCGGAGAGGAAACUUCUGACCACCCCGAGCUGAGCUUUGUGUUCCUCAGGCCCC